rnacentral:misc_RNA from 1 species
GCCCUGCAUGCAAGAGGUUGCACCUGCACCCCUGCUAUCACAAAUCCUCACACAAACCAUGUCUCCAGGCGAAAGGGUAGUAGGUGGCAAUCGGUGAUUCCCUUCAGCCUUAAACAAUACUAGGUGCAUUCCUCCUAAUCCUGUAGAUGUGCUAACUGCAUGCAAGUUGCAGAUAGUGUCACAGAGCUCUUGCUGAACCUGACCAUGGCUAACCAAGAACUCAAUCGGUUUAGAUGAAUCAUAACUUUCAUCGCGCAUAGGAACAGCAUUCAACUCCUCCUGGGUGAACUCCAAUUCAGCAUCCCUCUCUAUACGGAGCAAUUCUGAC